GUUUGCUAUAUAUAUCCAUAAACUCAUCAAACAAUAGGGUUUUGAUCAACAUAUGUGUUAACAAUAUUUCAUAUACUUUGUGAUCCAUCUAACAUAUACUGAGAUUUCACAAGUACGGUUAACAUAAAUGUUUUGAUCAGCAUAUGUGAUGAACUCCAUAAACUCAUCAAACACUCACUGCAUGUGCUGAACAUGGCAAUACUAAGACUACACUAAGAAAUGAAACGAACAGGAAAAACCGAAGCAAAAUCAUUAAGCCUACCAUUUCUAGGGUUUUCUAGUUAAUCUUGAAAUCAGAAGCAAAUUCCUUGAUCCAUAUUCCAAACUCCUCCAUCUUAAACAAGCAGAUAACGAUAACUUUUGAGCUAUGAAGUUUUAAAUAAGAUAAUGAGUGAUUUCUCAUACGCGUACAGUAUCCUGAUAACUACUUAAUUUUCUUCAAUAGAAGCUUCACGCCCAUAUGGUUAAGCACGAACCAGCAGACGCAAAAUGAAUCUACAAAGGGUUGCUAGUGGAAGAAGAGCUGAAACUAGAAAGAUCUGUCCAUGCGGUAGCACCCCAAUACUGAUCAUGCCCUGGAAUUCCCAAAAACUGCCUCGACAAAUUCAGCUCCUGAUUAUUAUUAUUGUCUUCCAUUUUCACUGAGGCCAACUGAGUAGUUAAAGAAGUGGAUAACCUCGGCCUGAGCUGACCCAUUCCACUACCAUAACCUGAUUGUUCAGCGCCACCUUCAAAUGGGUAUAACCCAGAAGAAGAAGAAGAAUCUAGUCCCCCAAAAAAGGGAAAUUGCUGCCCCUGCUGAAAUUUCCAGUGGUCCAAACCACCCACUGACAAAAGAGAACCACCACUACCACCAAUACCAGCACCGGCAAAAGCACUCCCUAUUUGAAAAUUAAAGUCGCUUGGUCCUCCAACUGGAGCCGAAAGGGAACCGUAAUUUAACCCAAUAUUCCCAGUAGCAAAUUCUGUAAGAUGAUGCAGAGGAGCCAUGAACCUGAGUGGUGGAACCUGUGGUCCGAGGCCUAAUAUGUCGCUGGUUCCGCUAUUAGAAGAGACGGUACUUGAGGAACCGGAACCCGUUGGGCGAUCGCCACUGACGGGAGAUUUUGAGCUUCUCCCUUUACUUCUCUUGUUCCUCCUGCAGCCACCUCCAACGGGAACAUUUCUUAGGGCACCCCCUCUGGUCCAGUACCUUCUACAGGUUUUGCAGAAGUGUCGAGGCUGAGAGAGGCUAUAGUUGUUGAAGUAGCAAAACUUAGUGUUAGUGGAUUCACAUCUUGGACAUUUUAAUGCAGCCUCUGGCAUGGGUAUGUUAGCUAACCGGGCUCGAUCCGCCAUGGAACCAGGGCGGAUGGAACCUGCACCAACACUUCCAUGAGGUUGGGGAGGAGGUGGUGGCGGUGGUGGU
rnacentral:misc_RNA from 1 species